rnacentral:rRNA from 1 species
UACGUAGGGUGCGAGCGUUUAAUCGGAAUUACUGGGCGUAAAGCGUGCGUAGGCGGUUCGUUAAGUUCGUUGUGAAAGCCCCGGGCUCAACCUGGGAAUGGCAAUGGAAACUGGCGGGCUGGAGUAUGGCAGAGGGGGGUGGAAUUCCGCGUGUAGCAGUGAAAUGCGUAGAGAUGCGGAGGAACACCGAUGGCGAAGGCAGCCCCCUGGGCCAAUACUGACGCUCGAGGCACGAAAGCGUGGGGAGCAAACAGG